UACGAAGGGGGCUAGCGUUGCUCGGAAUCACUGGGCGUAAAGAGCGUGUAGGCGGCCAGGUAGGUCAGCUGUGAAAACUCGAGGCUCAACCUCGAGACGCCGGUUGAAACCAUCUGGCUAGAGUCCGGAAGAGGAGAGUGGAAUUCCUGGUGUAGCGGUGAAAUGCGCAGAUAUCAGGAAGAACACCCGUGGCUAAGGCGGCUCUCUAGUACGGUACUGACGCUGAGACGCGAAAGCGUGGGGAGCGAACAGG
rnacentral:rRNA from 1 species